rnacentral:rRNA from 1 species
AGUGAACGCUGGCGGCGUGCUUAACACAUGCAAGUCGAACGAGAACGGAUUAUAGCUUGCUAUAAUUGUUAGCUAAGUGGCGUACGGGUGAGUAAUGUAUAGGUAAUAUGCCUUUUACUAAGGAAUAACCAAUGGAAACGUUUGCUAAUACCUUAUACUCCUUAUUAACCUAAGUUAAUAAGGGAAAGAUUUAUUGGUAAGAGAUUAGCCUGUAUUGUAUCAGUUAGUUGGUGGGGUAAUGGCUUACCAAGACUAUGACACAUAACUGGUUUGAGAGGAUGAUCAGUCACACUGGAACUGAGACACGGUCCAGACUCCUACGGGAGGCAGCAGUGGGGAAUAUUGCACAAUGGACGGAAGUCUGAUGCAGCAACGCCGCGUGGAGGAUGACACAUUUCGGUGCGUAAACUCCUUUUAUAUGAGAAGAUAAUGACGGUAUUAUAUGAAUAAGCACCGGCUAACUCCGUGCCAGCCGCCGCCGUAA